rnacentral:rRNA from 1 species
UACGGAGGGUGCAAGCGUUGUUCGGAAUUACUGGGCGUAAAGCGCGUGUAGGCGGUCGCGUAAGUCUGAUGUGAAAGCCCGGGGCUCACCCCCGGAAGUGCAUUGGAAACUGCGCGACUAGAGUGUCGGAGAGGAGGGUGGAAUUCCUGGUGUAGCGGUGAAAUGCGUAGAUAUCAGGAGGAACACCGGUGGCGAAGGCGGCCCUCUGGACGAAUACUGACGCUGAGACGCGAAAGCGUGGGGAGCAAACAGG